rnacentral:pre_miRNA from 1 species
CAACUACUCCCUCCGUUCCAAAUUACUUGUCGCAGAAAUGGAUGUAUCUAGAACUAAAAUACAUCUAGAUACAUCCAUACCUACGACAAGUAAUUCAGAACGGAGGGAGUACAAU